CUCUUUGCCGCUUUAUGUGGAUGUGGAUUCAUGGCAUCACAGUACAAACACAGCCGAAUUACUUUACGGAAACUCAUUGUCUCAUUCAAGAAAGUGUCCAGAACAUAAAAACAGACUGAGGAAGGAAGCUUUCAGCAGUGUGUUGCAACUGUGGUGGCGUUCACUUGCCUCGUUCACUACUGCAGCUGUCUGCGACCAGCAUGUCUUCUUUUGUAAACACUCUCACCCUCAUAUGUUGUGAUGGGAGUGAAGGAUGAUGCUGCUCCUGUCAAAUAUCAACUUCCCCCAUCCCCACCCCCACUUCCGGGUCAUGUCACAUGCUCCUCAUCCCCCUCCCCUCCUCACCUCCGCCUCUUCCCCCCCCUCCCCGAGUAAACAAAAUCCAGCAGCAUUCAUUAUUAUCUGCCAACAGAUUCCUAUCUUCGGGGGAAAAGGCAGUGCUGAGCGUACAGAGUGAUGUAUAAACAAAGCAUUUUAUUUGACACACUGGCAAUAAAUUCACAUUUGUGUUACUGGAUAUAA